rnacentral:rRNA from 1 species
GAUGAACGCUGGCGGCGUGCCUAACACAUGCAAGUCGAGCGAACAGACGAGGAGCUUGCUCCUUUGACGUUAGCGGCGGACGGGUGAGUAACACGUGGAUCACCUACUUAUAUUACUGGGAUAAUUUCGGGAAACCGGCGCUAAUACCGGAUAAUAUAUUGAACCGCAGGGUUCAAUAGUGAAAGACGGUUUUGCUGUCACUUAUAGCUGGAUCCGCGCUGCAUUAGCUAGUUGGUAGGGUAACGGCUUACCAAGGCUACGAUGCGUAGCCGACCUGAGAGGCUGAUCGGCCACACUGGAACGGAGACACGGUCCAGACUCCUACGGGAGGCAGCAGUAGGGAAUCUGCGGCAAUGGGCGGAAGCCUGACGCAGCGACGCCGCGUGAGUGAUGAAGGUCUUCGGAUCGUAAAACUCUGUUAUGGGGGAAGAACAAAUGUGGAAGUAACUGUGGACGUCUUGACGGUACCGAAUCAGAAAGCCACGGCUAACUACGUG